rnacentral:pre_miRNA from 1 species
AGUAGAAUUGCUCGGUCAUAUGAUAACUCUAUGUUUAACUUUUUGAGGAACUGUCAAGCUGUUUUCCAAAGUGGCUGUACUAUUUUACAUUUCCACCAGCAAU